UAUUUUGCAUGUGACCUAUGCACGCAUGUGACUGCAUAAUUUUUCAUGUGUAUUAUUUAUUAGUAAUAGUAUGGUUUCUUGUGCAAUUUGGAAAAACAUACAGUCUUGUGAGUUUUUCAAAGACUUCAAAUUGCACGUGUCCUUCGGGCUCAUGCAAUUUUGAUCGUCUUUGAGACACGGCCCUAUGAAAAUCAUUAUCAAUUGAUACCUGGUUACCGUGUAUAAAUUAGAUAAUUAAAUACAAAUACUCAUGCAUGUUUUCCCAAAUUGUACUUGAAACCACACUACUAC